ACAAAACGAAUCGAAUGAACAAAACGAGCAAAACAUAAAUAAAAACUCAUCAUCAUCAGAUGUGCAUAUCAAAGACGAAUCUGUAUAUAUCGAUAUAUUGAAAAAUAAAAACAUAGAAACAGUUACUAUAAAUAUAUUUGACAAACAUCGAUUUUAUUAUAGAACUCGUUUUCGAAGUUUAAUAUCACAAAGCUUAAGUAGUGAUGAUUACAUAAAAUACUGUGAAAUAAGAGAAAAGUUAUUUAAAUAUAAAAAAAAAAAUUUUAUAAAUUGGUUAUCCAAUUUUACAAAUAUGAAUAUAUUAAAUAUAUAUGUAAUUAAUUUUUUUUAUAUUUUUAUUUUUAGAUAGAUUAUAUUUAAUAAUAGAGACAUAUAUACGAUUUAAUUAUUAUGAGCAAGAAAACAAAAAUUGUUCUAUUAAUAAUUCUUUAACAGAAAACAUAGAUAAUUUAAAAAAUUUACCAAAUUUUAAUUAUAUUUUAAAUUAUUUAACUCAGUUUAUAAAAAAAGAUGAUGACAAUUUAUCAAUAAAUGUCAUCCAAAAAACUAAUAAUGAUUCACAAAAUAAUAAAAAAAAUCAAUAUUUAGAAAAAGAAAAUAAUAAUUCCACAAAUAAUAUAUAUAAUUUGACACAAAUGUAUAAUACAAUUGUUAAAGAAAAAAUGUCUAAUUUCUUUUUAUCAAUAAAUAUUAUAUAUAAUUUAGACAUAUAUAAUUUAAAAAUAAAAAAUAAAAUAACUUUUGAAAAAUUAAUAAAAAUAGAUAUUUCCUCGUAUAUUAAUGAAAGUAACAUUUAUGAACUUAUAAAAUUUGAUAAAAAUAAAAACAUAUCCCCAUGGAAUUUAUUAACCAAUUAUGCUAUACUUCAAAACAGCAAUUUUAAGUUGGAAAAAUUUGACUGCUUUUCCAUUUUUCUUAUUGUUCGCUUCAAGUUUUAUUUGGAAGAAUUCAAGGAAAAUGCAAACAUUGAUUACAUAUACAAAAAUAUAAAAGAAGAAUAUCUCGAAGUUGAAAAUUACUUAAAAAAUAAUGAGAAUGAUAAUUGUAAUGCACACAAUUCCAAUUAUUUUGAAUUUAAUAGUUUAAUACCUCUUUAUCUUGAUAUACAAAAAGAAUUGAAAAAGGUAUUAUUAUGUUUAAUAAUUUGUAAUUGUUUAUCUAUUUGUAAU
ensembl:lncRNA